UGUAAUCUAUGUAUAAAGUAUCUGCAUUGAGUUGCAUCUGAAAUAGUAAAAUACUGACAUAUUAUAUCUUUUCCAGGUCAAUUAUCUGUAUUGAAUGGCUGGAGAAUACAAACCUAGUACAAAUGUAUAUAGAGGAAUGAAGAGGCCUCACAAUUAUAACUGACUGUCAUUGGGUAAUUUUAUUAUUAAUAAAAAAUUGAGAAUGGAAAUGGGGAAUGUGUCAAAGAGACAACAACCUGACAAAAGAGCAGAAAACAGCCAAAGACCACCAAUAGCUCUACAACACACUGAGAAAAUCACUGCACACAAAGGCAUGCUUCAGCUGCCACCUAAACAAAAAUGUGUACUACUCCUGGUAACAUGGGGUCAAGGUGAUAAUGAAUGUUCUACUACAUGUAUACUACGAAAUAUAUAAAUGAACUAAAAUUAAAAAUCAUACAAGACUAACAAAGGCAAGAGGCUCCUGACUUGGGACAUACGCAAAAAUGUGUAGGGGUUAAACAUGUUUUGCAAGAUCUCAACCUAUCCAGCUAGCCAUUGUAGAAAAACAAAAACAAUAGGCACAGUAAAUCUCAGUUUAAAGAAGUCAUAUUUAGUCCUAUGUCAGAAUAGGAAACAAAACAAACUAAGCAAAAUUACGAUACAUAAAUUAACAAAGGACUACUAGCAGUUACUGACAUGUUCCUCAGACAUAUGUGAACUUAACUAAAUGUCAUACACAAUAUAUGUUUUAUCACUUUUUUACUUCUUUUUUUUUAGCAUAUGAAAUAUAUCUUGAAUAUAUUGUAACAAUGUUUUUUUUAAGAAUAUUUUUUUUGUACCCUAAUACCGGUACGACAUGAAUUACAUGUACCAAUAAGAAAAAUAAUUUCUUUGGUUUUAUUCCAAUACAGAUGCAUGAAGUCAGACUAAAUGUUUUUGAACCUUGCAUAUCUACUUGAACUUGUUUCUUAGUUUGCAAAAUUACUUUAUUCAGUAAAAUUUCUAAACAAAUGUAUAGUUUUGUAGUCAUUGGUCUCAUACAAAUUGCAUUUUAUUAAACUUGGGUAAAUUAUAUUUCAGCAAAAGGCUUUGCCAUCAAAUACAUGUAUUUCAUCUCCGAAGAAUAAGAACAACAGUCCUGAUGAUGGUGACAGGUCAAAUUAAUCUAACAGGUAACACAUUCAUGACAUAUUGUUUUCAGGCUUUUCCAUUUAAACAUGCAUGCAUGCAUAUUGGGACCAGGGAAGACACUUAGAGAUCCAAAGUUACAAUGUGUAGUGGGGUUAAUUCCAUUGAAAAUGUUAGUGAAAUUCUCAGUUGGCUUCUAUCAGUUGAUUAUUGAUUGACUUUAUUAACUUAAUAUUUCUGUAACAAUUGUACAUGUAAUAACAAUUAGCCACUUCAUGAUAUCCAUUACCAAAAAUGUUGUAUAGUCUGAUUAUAACCACAGAAUUUACUUUGCUUUUCAGAUACUAGUGAAGAAAUAAAGAAACAAGAGUAGACACCAUUUGACCAACUGUGCUUACAAUACUUGUGCAAUAGUUGUAAUUGAUGUCCAUACUACAUUGUAGUGUCAUACAUGUAUGAUAAUACAUUACUGCAUCCACAGAAUUAUCAUCUUGGUCGACAAUGCCUCUCAUUUCUUAAUAAAUUGCAUUUGUUAUUUUGGUUGUAUGAUUUUCUAAAAAGACUUGUUUGUUAUUAAUGGAGUAGAAUGUUGAAAAAAACAAAUGACAAAGAUCAUUGUUGAAUGAAGUGCAAGUACUUUUUUAAAGUUUUAAAUAGACAAUUAGUAUGGUUUUUGAGCGAUUUAAAAAAGAUAUUUCAAUUUGUUUCCAGUACAUUAAUAAGCACUUUAUCACAAAAUCAGUGGCAGAUCCAGAAAUUUUCAUAAGUUGGGGUCCACUGACUGCCUAUGAGGGGGUCCGGCCCACUCCAGUCAUACUUCAGUGAUUCCCUAUAUAAUCAACCAAUUUUUUUUCCAGAAAAGGGGAGGCCUGGGCCUCCUGGCCCCCUUUUAAAUCCGCCUCUGACAAUACCA
rnacentral:lncRNA from 1 species